rnacentral:rRNA from 1 species
AGAGUUUGAUCCUGGCUCAGAUUGAACGCUGGCGGCAUGCCUUACACAUGCAAGUCGAACGGCAGCACGGACUUCGGUCUGGUGGCGAGUGGCGAACGGGUGAGUAAUAUAUCGGAACGUACCCUGGAGUGGGGGAUAACGCAGCGAAAGUUACGCUAAUACCGCAUACGAUCUACGGAUGAAAGUGGGGGCUCGCAAGACCUCAUGCUCGUGGAGCGGCCGAUAUCUGAUUAGCUAGUUGGUAGGGUAAAAGCCUACCAAGGCUUCGAUCAGUAGCUGGUCUGAGAGGACGACCAGCCACACCCUUCUGAGACACGGCCCAGACUCCUACGGGAGGCAGCAGUGGGGAAUUUU